UCCAAUCAGUCUAGUGGUCAUGAUUUCCGCUUGUCAUCGCAAGAUAACGAGCGCGGGAGACCGGGGUUCGAUUCCCCGUCGGAGAG